rnacentral:rRNA from 1 species
UACGGGAGGCAGCAGUGGGGAAUAUUGCACAAUGGGCGAAAGCCUGAUGCAGCUAUGCCGCGUGUAUGAAGAAGGCCUUAGGGUUGUAAAGUACUUUCAUCGGGGAGGAAAAAACAAAACUAAUAAUUUUAUUUCUUGACGUUACCCGAAAAAGAAGCACCGGCUAACUCCGUGCCAGCAGCCGCGGUAAUACGGAGGGUGCUAGCGUUAAUCAGAAUUACUGGGCGUAAAGAGCACGUAGGUGGUUUUUUUAAAGUCAGAUGUGAAAUCCCUGGGCUUAACCUAGGAACUGCAUUUUGAAACUGAAAUACUAGAGUAUCGUAGAGGGAGGUAGAAUUCUAGGUGUAGCGGUGAAAUGCGUAGAUAUCUGGAGGAAUACCUGUGGCGAAAGCGGCCUCCUAAACGAAUACUGACACUGAGGUGCGAAAAGCGUGGGGAGCAAAACAGGGAUUAGAUACC